GGGGAAAUAGCUUAACUAGCAGAGCACAGGUUUUGCAUGCCUGAGGCCCCUGGUUCAAUGCCUGGCACCA
rnacentral:tRNA from 1 species